rnacentral:rRNA from 1 species
GAUGAACGCUGGCGGCGUGCCUAAUACAUGCAAGUCGAGCGAACGGACGAGAAGCUUGCUUCUCUGAUGUUAGCGGCGGACGGGUGAGUAACACGUGGAUAACCUACCUAUAAGACUGGGAUAACUUCGGGAAACCGGAGCUAAUACCGGAUAAUAUUUUGAACCGCAUGGUUCAAAAGUGAAAGACGGUCUUGCUGUCACUUAUAGAUGGAUCCGCGCUGCAUUAGCUAGUUGGUAAGGUAACGGCUUACCAAGGCAACGAUGCAUAGCCGACCUGAGAGGGUGAUCGGCCACACUGGAACUGAGACACGGUCCAGACUCCUACAGGAGGCAGCAGUAGGGAAUCUUCCGCAAUGGGCGAAAGCCUGACGGAGCAACGCCGCGUGAGUGAUGAAGGUCUUCGGAUCGUAAAACUCUGUUAUUAGGGAAGAACAUAUGUGUAAGUAACUGUGCACACCUUGACGGUACCUAAUCAGAAAGCCACGGCUAACUACGUGCCAGCAGCCGCGGUAAUACGUAGGUGGCAAGCGUUAUCCGGAAUUAUUGGGCGUAAAGCGCGCGUAGGCGGUUUUUUAAGUCUGAUGUGAAAGCCCACGGCUCAACCGUGGAGGGUCAUUGGAAACUGGAAAACUUGAGUGCAGAAGAGGAAAGUGGAAUUCCAUGUGUAGCGGUGAAAUGCGCAGAGAUAUGGAGGAACACCAGUGGCGAAGGCGACUUUCUGGUCUGUAACUGACGCUGAUGUGCGAAAGCGUGGGGAUCAAACAGG